rnacentral:rRNA from 1 species
UACAGAGGUGGCAAGCGUUGUUCGGAUUUACUGGGCGUAAAGGGCGCGUAGGCGGCAUGACAAGUCACUUGUGAAAUCUCCGGGCUUAACUCGGAACGGUCAAGUGAUACUGUCGCGCUAGAGUGCGGAAGGGGCAAUCAGAAUUCUUGGUGUAGCGGUGAAAUGCGUAGAUAUCAAGAGGAAUACCUGAGGUGAAGACGGGUUGCUAGGCCGACACUGACGCUGAAGCGCGAAAGCCAGGGGAGCGAACGGG